UACGUAGGCAGCGAGCGUUGUUCGGAGUUACUGGGCGUAAAGAGUGCGUAGGCGGUUUUCUAAGUUUGGUGUGAAAUCUCCCGGCUCAACUGGGAGGGUGCGCCGAAGACUGGAAGGCUUGAGUAUGGGAGAGGUAAGCGGAAUUCCUGGUGUAGCGGUGAAAUGCGUAGAUAUCAGGAAGAACACCAAUGGCGAAAGCAGCUCUCUGGGACGGUACUGACGCUGAGACGCGAAAGCGUGGGGAGCAAACAGG
rnacentral:rRNA from 1 species